UAGAGUUUGAUCCUGGCUCAGGAUGAACGCUAGCGGCAGGCUUAAUACAUGCAAGUCGAGGGGCAGCAGGACUGUAGCAAUACAGUUGCUGGCGACCGGCAAACGGGUGCGGAACACGUACGCAACCUACCCAUAACUGGGGGAUAGCCCGGGGAAACCCGGAUUAAUACCUCGUAACCUUUUUGAGUGGCAUCACUUGAUAAGUAUAGCUCCGGCGGUUAUGGAUGGGCGUGCGGCUGAUUAGGUAGUUGGCGGGGUAACGGCCCACCAAGCCUGCGAUCAGUAACUGGUGUGAGAGCACGACCAGUCACACGGGCACUGAGACACGGGCCCGACUCCUACGGGAGGCAGCAGUAAGGAAUAUUGGUCAAUGGACGCAAGUCUGAACCAGCCAUGCCGCGUGAAGGAUGAAGGUCCUCUGGAUUGUAAACUUCUUUUAUGGGGGACGAAACCCAGGCAUUCUUGCCUGAUUGACGGUACCUCAGGAAUAAGCACCGGCUAACUCCGUGCCAGCAGCCGCGGUAAUACGGAGGGUGCAAGCGUUAUCCGGAUUCACUGGGUUUAAAGGGUGCGUAGGAGGGCAGGUAAGUCAGUGGUGAAAUCUCCGGGCUUAACUCGGAAACUGCCGUUGAUACUCUCUGUCUUGAAUACCGUGGAGAUGAGCGGAAUAUGUCAUGUAGCGGUGAAAUGCUUAGAUAUGACAUAGAACACCGAUUGCGAAGGCAGCUCGUUACACGCAUAUUGACUCUGAGGCACGAAAGCGUGGGGAUCAAACAGGAUUAGAUACCCUGGUAGUCCACGCCCUAAACGAUGGAUACUCGACAUACGCGAUACACUGUGUGUGUCUGAGCGAAAGCAUUAAGUAUC
rnacentral:rRNA from 1 species